UUCCAUAAUUCUUGAACUUUUGCUUUCUUGGUAAUAAGAGAAGCAGGCAGUGAUGAUUACCACCGUCGCUAAGACGAUACCGAGGUUGAACCUUACAUUGUCACCGAGAACUUCGGGAUUUUUGCUGUAUUCGAUUGCAUACGCGAUAAAGCAGAGAAUAGCACCCGACAACAAGAGCAAUGAGAAACCACCGAAAAGCUGUUUGCAAAACUUAACCCAUUCGGGUGUAGUUUUGGGGGGAGUAAGGCAAUUGGGCCCGUCGCGUUCCAAGUUGGCCUUGGCUUGUUGUGACGACAAACCCUAGGCGCAAAGAAAACUAGGAUUAUGAAAGCUGCGCUUACAGUCUCCGGAUUGACAUUGUGUCGUAUGUAAAGAUCAGCGAUUGGAAUUAUGUGAUCGUCAAUGUCCAGUUCUUGUUUCAAGUUGUCGACAUCGUUUGUGUUCGAUGCCUUAGUGUAACGAACACAGAUAAAGAGAUUACCACGAUAACACGUACGGUAUACAAAUUAUUAUCAUUUUUUUUUUGCUCUAAUUAGCACUUACGUUUUUGACCAUUUUGAUGGUAAAACAACGUUUCGUUCUUUGCAAAGUGAAAACAAAUCAACACCUGGCUGCUGGUCCUACAGGUAAACUGGCGUCUUACUGAAGACUGCAAACUUGCAGAAUCUAAUGUAAACAGGUAAUUUAAUAAGAUUUAGUAACAUUCUGGCUUCAAACAGAAAAACAACAGAUUACAGAAUGG